GACGAACGCUGGCGGCGUGCUUAACACAUGCAAGUCGAGCGGUAAGGCCCUUUCGGGGGUACGACGAGCGGCGAACGGGUGAGUAACACGUGGGUGACCUGCCCUCAGCUCUGGGAUAAGCCUGGGAAACCGGGUCUAAUACCGGAUAUGACUCCAUGACGGCAUGUUGUGGGGUGGAAAGCCUUGUGCGGCUGAGGAUGGGCCCGCGGCCUAUCAG
rnacentral:rRNA from 1 species